GAUGAACGCUGGCGGCGUGCCUAAUACAUGCAAGUCGAGCGAAUGGACGAGAAGCUUGCUUUUCUGAUGUUAGCGGCGGACGGGUGAGUAACACGUGGAUAACCUACCUAUAAGACUGGGAUAACUUCGGGAAACCGGAGCUAAUACCGGAUAAUAUUUUGAACCGCAUGGUUCAAAAGUGAAAGACGGUCUUGCUGUCACUUAUAGAUGGAUCCGCGCUGCAUUAGCUAGUUGGUAAGGUAACGGCUUACCAAGGCAACGAUGCAUAGCCGACCUGAGAGGGUGAUCGGCCACACUGGAACUGAGACACGGUCCAGACUCCUACGGGAGGCAGCAGUAGGGAAUCUUCCGCAAUGGGCGAAAGCCUGACGGAGCAACGCCGCGUGAGUGAUGAAGGUCUUCGGAUCGUAAAACUCUGUUAUUAGGGAAGAACAUAUGUGUAAGUAACUGUGCACAUCUUGACGGUACCUAAUCAGAAAGCCACGGCUAACUACGUG
rnacentral:rRNA from 1 species